UCCGGAUUUACUGGGUGUAAAGGGAGAGUAGACGGUUAUGAAAGUCUGGAGUGAAAGCCCGGGGCUCAACCCCGGGACUGCUUUGGAAACUGUAAAACUGGAGUGCAGGAGAGGCAGGCGGAAUUCCUAGUGUAGCGGUGAAAUGCGUAGAUAUUAGGAGGAACACCAGUGGCGAAGGCGGCUUGCUGGACGAUGACUGACGUUGAGGCUCGAAAGCGUGGGGAGCAAACAGG
rnacentral:rRNA from 1 species